rnacentral:tRNA from 2 species
GUCUCGUUAGCUCAGCGGGAGAGCACUUGCUUGACAGGCAAGGGGUCACUGGUUCAAUCCCAGUACGAGACA